UAUAAUCAAUAUACAAGAAUAUAUUAUGGUUCUCACGCUCCAGUUCUUCCUCACUACAAUAUUGGAAACUUUACAACUUUGUCUCUUUGUGUUCUUAAUUUUUCUUUUUAGUAAAGAUUGUAAUGUAGUAGAUAUCGAUUAAUAAAAAAAUGGGCCAUUAAUAAGUCAAUAAAUAGGCCAAUUAACUACUUCACUGAAGAUUUCAAGUAAUUGAAUCUGUAACUUUCAUGAAAAUGACACCCCUUAUACUUACUUCCUGAAACACUACAUAU